UGUCAAAUAGUUGCACGCUACGACAGU
rnacentral:sRNA from 1 species